GUUUAUAUCGACGUCUAUCGGUGAAAAUCAAUUAGCAGGAAUAUUUUUCCCCACCUGGAUACAAUCUAUAGAAAAAUCCAUGAGGAACCUGGGAUGUGUUUAAAAAAAAUAGCGGCCUAUGAGGAUCAUAAUGAUUCACUUAUCCAUAUGUAAAUGAGAAGCCAUGGACGUCUGCUCCUUUGGGAAUCUCCACCCCUUUGAAAAGAAAAUAGAGGUUAAAAAUCUGCUAAACGAGUUAGCAGCAACCAGGAUCCCUCUCUUCCACAGGUUUUAUCACUUCGAUAUCACCGUCUGGAAUGCAUUGGUAAGCCUGUCCUCCAAGGGCUACUAUAUAGCUCUCUCUGCAGGCUUUGUACAGGAUGAAGAAGUCAUAAUCCUCAAACAGACUUAAAUUCCUCCAGAAAGGCUCUUGAUCCUGAAUCCACUCAUUUUCUUCAAACAACUUGGCCCAAAAGAGAAGGGAUAUUUGGGCAUGGCUGAAAUCCUUGAUUGAAAUCUGCUACAAGUGGGCACAGACACACGUGUGCGUCGAUACACACACAUGCAUGUACACAAACAAUCCCCACACACACAUAAAUACAUGCACAUACACCUCCCAAGCUGUCGCCUGCUGUCGUGAGAGCCUGGACCAGGUUGUUGAGAGGGCCUCUCUGAGCUCUUAUUAAAAGGUAAACUUCUCUAAGGCCAGGGAAUCAUGUCAAUCACAGGUUGUGUUUUCGCACCGAGCCCAAAGCCUGCUCUCUCCACCCUGUCAGACGCUGUUAUCACCCUCAAAGCCAUAUCAGAAUGCUGUUUGUUCUGCGCUUUAGUUUCACCCACACAGCGGAUUCAAAAAGGUACAGGUCUAUUUGAUAGUGUAUAUUUCAUUGCCGGAGAGAGACUGUGUUUGUCUUGCUGUGUUUGUCAGCUCAUAUUUGAGCUGAGGGUUCCUAUUAAAACUAAACACCAUAUCAGAGGAAUAUUGCCACCGCCAGGCUCUUUUAAAUCGCAUAUUGAGCCCAUGGAGUGUGGAAGCAAUUUAGUUGUAGCAUAGUUUAUAAGUGUGUCUCUGCUUGUGAUGUUUCUAUUUACUCUUCAUUCUCAUUUAUUUACAUAGUAGCUUCCCUCUACAUAUUUCAUAUGCUGUAAAAAAUACUUUAUUAUAUUGU